AAGGUGCUUUCUGUAUUAAGGCCUUAAAAAAUGUCAGCAACCUUAGUAUUGCUCAAAUGUAGUUUUUGAGUCUUUAACCUGUGUGCAAUUGUGUGCAUUGCGCAUGAUUAUUAUUGUAGCGCAUUAUUUUCGAGUCUCAUUCUUCUUCGUUCUUUUUUUGACUUGGUUAUCGAUUCCUCUCAGCUGAUGCUCUACUGCCUGAACAUGCUUGGUCUCCAAUAGCAGAGCCGGCAAGCUGGACGCCCCAUACUGGA